rnacentral:snRNA from 1 species
AUACUCUGGUUUCUCUUCAGAUCAUAUAAAACU